CCUACGGGUGGCAGCAGUGAGGAAUAUUGGUCAAUGGGCGGAAGCCUGAACCAGCCAAGUCGCGUGAGGGAUUAAGGCCCUGCGGGUCGUAAACCUCUUUUGCCGGGGAGCAGAGGUCCGGACGUGUCCGGGCCGGGAGAGUACCCGGAGAAAAAGCAUCGGCUAACUCCGUGCCAGCAGCCGCGGUAAUACGGAGGAUGCGAGCGUUAUCCGGCUUUAUUGGGUUUAAAGGGGUCGUAGGCGGGCAUCUAAGCCGGCGGUCAAAUGUCGGGGCGCAACCCCGGCAUGCCGUCGGAACUGGGUGCCUUGAGUGGGCGAGAAGUAUGCGGAAUGCGUGGUGUAGCGGUGAAAUGCAUAGAUAUCACGCAGAACCCCGAUUGCGAAGGCAGCAUACCGGCGCCCUACUGACGCUGAGGCACGAAAGUGCGGGUAUCGAACAGGAUUAGAUACCCCAGUAGUC
rnacentral:rRNA from 1 species